rnacentral:lncRNA from 1 species
GCUUCUGAGCCUGGGUUUUCUUAAGCUGGCUCUAGGAAUAAAUGCAUGUUUGUACAGAGAUGUACUACCAUGGACAACUACUUUCUUAGUAGUUCUACAUGGUUCAUGGGAUCAACUCAGCAGUCACUCAGUGAGCAUUGGUUGGAGCAGUGAGGAACCCAUCAAAAAAUGAACCAUGGAUUCUGCUGCCAUUUGGAAGUACUGCCUCAGAACUCUGUGAACAUUUGUGAUGGAUCAACAGGCAUCUCAGGCUGUUGCAUGUCAGGUAAACCAACCGAGCUGCCACAUCUGCCUGAUGCUCGCUUUGAGAAGUUGUUAUUAAAGAAAGAGAGGACUGCCCAUGAGAGAAUGUUUUGAAAACUCUUCCUUAACUACACCUAACAGCUGCAAGGACCUUCUGGUUGCCUCCUCCCAGCCCUCCUCAGUCAAAGGAAGCCGCAUCUGUGGAAGUCUGGAGCACGCUGUCAGGAGGACAGCAAUGAAUGUACAGCUGUACCACUUUAAUAUCAGAUGGGGCCGGCAGGUACGCUCAUGAUGGAGAGAUGUGCUGCAGAAUUCCACCAAUUGUUUCAGGAAUGCACAUGCUAUUCUGUUACGCAACGAAAACCCAAGGAAGGCAAGGAUGCAUUACAUCUGAAUCAGAGUUAAGUGCAGAACAAACGGGUCCUGUUCAAAACAUCCCGUCACUGUGGUUUAUACAAAGAAUCUUCAAAUCCUGUUGCACCAGUGCAACAACUGCUGUUGCUUCCCCCUGCUCCAGGACUGAGUUUGCUGAUGGAGUUGCACUGUGCUAGAAAGCCACCCCACCCUCCAGAGAAGUAUUAGUUCCAUGAAGUACUUGUUCCAGCAUUCACAAAACCUAACAGCAGUCUAUCUUCUGCACCCUUUAAGUUAAGCACUGAAAAGGGUGACAGAACGUGUAGUAGGCAUCAGAACAACAGAAAUUUAACUCCACAGAGGCUCAAAUUUAGUGAAUUCAGUAAUUUAUUCCAUCCUCCUUUGUGUGCACCUGCCAUAAAUUGGGUAUCUGUAUACACCAUUCCAUUAUCUUCAACCCCCCUGCAAAUACAUAGUUAUGACAGACACUCAGAAUGGUCAGACUGCUGUUGUACAGCCCUUCUAAUCAGAGCGAGGUGGUGCACUGUGAGAGACUGAUGGGAGCUCCAGGGCAGGUCUUCCAGCUGAAUGAGACUUUGCCCCAUGUUAAUUGCAUUCCUGCUUUUGCAGUUUUAUUUGCAGGACCUGCUGGUUUUUUGGUGCUUUUUUUUUUUUUAAUACAACGAGGAAGUUCAGUAUAUCAGUACAUGUACUACUUUCAACCUUCCCACUAAAAAAACCCCCCAAAAACCAACCAAAACCAAACAUGGUCAGGGAGAUGGAAUUGAGUACUUAAUUCUCUUAAAAAUUUCUAAGAAUAACAUGAAAAUAUUUCACUCACUUCUAAGGAAUUACCUUGACUUACCUUCAUUGAAAACAUAACUCUGAAUGAGCUUUCGUAUCUGUGUGCUAUACCAGAGACCCAGCUUGGUUCAUUAACAGUUAGGGCGGUUCUACUACUGGAAAACUCUCACUCCUGCUAGAGAUGAAACAUCCACCGUAUGCCGGAUUUAAUAUCAUUCUCUUCUUAAUUGUGAUGGUUGUAGGGAUUACAAGCAGCCUAUGUUAGUGACAAAAUAGAGGAAGCACAAGAGACUUUGUUCCAGCCAAAUGGGCCACUUAAGAAACAAAACCAUAAUUUAUUACUUUUGUAUGGGCUAGAGCUUGAGAAAGAAAAGAAAGAAAUCCUCUUAAAAUCCCCUUCGUAUGACAGCUGACUGAGCCCAGACUUUGUACAGACAGACCAUCUUUAGGAGAGUUCAGAAGCAAUGUACUCCGCCCAGUCACUGUAUUUAGAGGUAGUGCUUAAGGUGACCUGUAACAGAGGCGUAUCCUUUUUUGCUUCUUUAUGCUGUUUGUAGAAGGAGAAACUGAGUGACUAGGGGAUUCCUAUUUCUGACACUAAUUUACGUGGUGGAGGAAAGUCUUUUGUCUGAAUGUGCUUCAGGUUUUUCAGUGGUAACUUACCAUCUUCUGGAGUGUGCUUUGCAGUCUGCAGGUGGAAAUGAAUGUAAGGAAAGGCCAAAAUGUGUGCAGGCACGGCAGCAGGAAAGAGCAUUACUUACUUAUCUAAAAACACUAGAUACCUGCUUUUUUGAUCCAAAGUUUCUUGAAAAAUAUGAAAAUAUGAAAAUAGAAGAUUUCUUCUAGUUCUUUUCACACCACAGGUCUUGCCUCUUACCACAGAACUUUUUCCUGUCUUUUAAUGCAACUCAACUAAGCAAAUACUGAUUAAAAGGUUUGUUUCACACACGUUUGUACUGACUCCGCUUCUGCAUAGUUCUGUUUCUUGUUUUUGUUUGUUUGUUUUCUUUGCUUUUUUUCUAAAUCUCCCACCUGCACUGAAUUCUUCAUCCCUUUCUG